GAAUCCCGUCUUUGGCACGGACGCACCAGGGCUUUUGUGAUGCGCUCUCGAAGAGUCGAGUUGUUUGGGAAUGCAGCUCAAAAUGGGUGGUGAACUCCAUCUAAAGCUAAAUAUUGGCGAGAGACCGAUAGCGAACAAGUACCGUGAGGGAAAGAUGAAAAGCACUUUGGAAAGAGAGUGAAACAGUACGUGAAAUUGUUGAAAGGGAAACGCUUGAAGUCAGUCGCGUCGACCGAGACUCAGCCUCGCCUUGGCUUGGUUCACUUCUCGGUCGACGGGCCAGCAUCAAUUUUGCCCCUUGGAUAAUGGCGAGGGAAAUGUGACACCUUUACGGUGUGUUAUAGUCUCACGUCGCAUGCGAGGGUCGGGAUUGAGGAACUCAGCACGCGCCUUUUGGCGUCGGGGCUUUGCCCACGAUACGUGCUUAGGAUGUUGGCGUAAUGGCUUUAAACGACCCGUCUUGAAACACGGACCAAGGAGUCUAACAUGCCCGCGAGUGUUCGGGUGGAAAACCCGUGCGCGCAAUGAAAGUGAAAGUUGGGACCUCCGUCGUGGAGGGCACCGACGCCCGGACCAGACCUUCUGUGACGGCUCUGCGGUAGAGCGUGUAUGUUAGGACCCGAAAGAUGGUGAACUAUGCCUGAAUAGGGUGAAGCCAGAGGAAACUCUGGUGGAGGCUCGUAGCGAUUCUGACGUGCAAAUCGAUCGUCAAAUUUGGGUAUAGGGGCGAAAGACUAAUCGAACCAUCUAGUAGCUGGUUCCUGCC
rnacentral:rRNA from 1 species